CAGCGAUGAGACUCCUACUUGCUUCUCCAUCAUUUUGUGCUUUCUGUGACCGUCAUCACCACUAAUUUCAAUGUGGGCUGCGAUCACAAGUUCCCUCCGUAGCUUUUCAAAUCCCAUCACGUGCCCGUCAUCAGGAGACCUGGAUAAUUGGAUAUUGAUAAGUUAACCACGAUGGAGAGAACCUACCAACUGUUUAGGAACCACACAAAGUUGAAG
rnacentral:lncRNA from 1 species